rnacentral:misc_RNA from 1 species
GAUGAAGAACGUAGCGAAAUGCGAUACGUAAUGUGAAUUGCAGAAUUCAGUGAAUCAUCGAGUCUUUGAACGCACAUUGCGCCCCCUGGUAUUCCGGGGGGCAUGCCUGUCCGAGCGUCAUUGCUGCCCUCAAGCACGGCUUGUGUGUUGGGCCUCCGUCCUCCUCCCGGGGGACGGGCCCGAAAGGCAGCGGCGGCACCGCGUCCGGUCCUCGAGCGUAUGGGGCUUCGUCACCCGCUCUUGUAGGCCCGGCCGGCGCUUGCCGACACAUCAUUCUUUUUUCCAGGUUGACCUCGGAUCAGGUAGGGAUACCCGCUGAACUUAAGCAUAUCAAUAAGCGGAGGA